ACCAGGUGUGGCCACUAGCCUAUAUGAAGGCCCAAAAUUGUGUGUUCCUUUCUGCUCUGACAAUGGCAUGCCCAUUCGUGCGAGAUGUGGUGGAUGAAGAAGCACUUGUGCUGAGGAGAGCCUUCAGGCGAGAAAGGGUCUUCAGGGACCGGUUGGACCCACUGGCCUUCCCUGAUGACCAUCUAUAUGAAAGAUACAGGUUUUCUGCAGAUGGCAUCAGGUAUCUAUGCAGACUACUGGGUCCCAGGAUUAAGCACCGCACUGCACGGAGCCAUGCACUGAGUGUGGCGCAAAUGGUUUGUGUUGCCUUGCGCUUUUUUGCUAGUGGAGCCUUCCUGUACUCAGUGGGGAUGCUGAACAAGGCCACAAUUUGCCGCACAAUAAGGAGUGUGUGUCUGGCUAUCAAAGCAUUAGCAGAUGUCUUCAUCUCCUUCCCUGGCCACAGAAGACUCUGUGACAUCAAAGAGGAGUUCUAUAGGAUUGCAGGUAAGAGGAUCUACAAAUUACAGGACAACUGUUAACACAUAGUAGGAUACUCAUUACUUUGUGUGACAGGUUUCCCCAAUGUCAUUGGUGCAGUGGACUGCACACACAUAAGGAUAAAAGCCCCCUCAGGUGCCCAUGAGGCCGAUUUUGUGAAUAGGAAAUCCUUUCACAGCAUUAAUGUUCAGGUGAACAUAACUUUUUGAUAUUGUCCAUUGACGAACACUCUGCAUUGCCAGUGAUGUGCAUUGAUUGGUGUAAUAUUCCUCAUCUUAUGAUUUCAGAUGGUCUGCAAUGCUGAGUGUGUGAUCAGCAAUGUUGUGGCAAAAUGGCCUGGCUCAGUCAAUGACUCCAGAAUCUUUCGGGCCUCUGAAAUCUAUCAGUGCCUAUCACAAGGUGAAUUCUCUGGUGUGUUGCUGGGAGACAGGGGGUAUGGCUGCCAGCCUUUUCUCCUGACACCUUUCACAGACCCCCAGGAAGCACAGCAGGCCUACAACCAUGCCCAUGCCAGGACCAGGGCCAGAGUUGAAAUGACCUUUGGCCUCCUGAAGGCACGCUUUCACUGCCUUCACAAAUUAAGGGUCAGCCCUGUUAGGGCAUGUGAUAUUACUGUGGCUUGUGCUGUCCUCCACAAUGUGGCCUGCCUGAGGAAGGAGGGCCCCCAGAGUGCCACCAGCCAUGGACUGGGACAAUCCGGCAAUCUUCCCUGAUGACGACAGUGGUCGGCUGCUGAGGGACCAAUAUGUGUUGAAUUAUUUUAGUUAGUAUGUGUGCUUUCAAUUUUGGUUAAAUAUGUCCUGCGGUGGCAGAGGAAUUUGGGUUUUUUGGGUUAGUUUUUUGACGAAUUUGGCCUCUUAUGAUGUUUGUGCGGUAUACUGUGUGUAAUACAAGGCUGCAGGGAGGCUACUGCAUCCAUUCAUUUGUCUGUUCAGUUGAUGUGUAUGGAUUUGUCCUGCAUUUAUUUUAGUGUGCAGACAUGCAGGGUGUGUUAUAUACAGACCUUUGAAUGUGUAUGUAUCAUUUUGUAUAAUAUGCUUGGAUUCUGUGCUUUCCAUCUUGUAGAGUCACUGUGACUUCAGUUUUGAAAGGAGCUGAUGGUUUACCUGCUUUGUUUUGUCCUUAUUCAAUAAAGGAACAUAAUGUUACACAUUGUGUUUUUAUAUUCA